UACGAAGGGGGCUAGCGUUGCUCGGAAUCACUGGGCGUAAAGGGUGCGUAGGCGGGUCUUUAAGUCAGGGGUGAAAUCCUGGAGCUCAACUCCAGAACUGCCUUUGAUACUGGCGAGCUUGAGUUCGGGAGAGGUGAGUGGAACUGCGAGUGUAGAGGUGAAAUUCGUAGAUAUUCGCAAGAACACCAGUGGCGAAGGCGGCUCACUGGCCCGAUACUGACGCUGAGGUGCGAAAGCGUGGGGAGCAACCAGG
rnacentral:rRNA from 1 species